rnacentral:lncRNA from 1 species
UUUGGAUGGCAAACUAGGUCGAAAAAGAAAUAACUCAGAACUUGGACAGCGUUUCGGAAAAUAUAAAAAAAAUGAAAUCGAAAUAUGCCGAAAACAUAACAUAUAUAAGAUUCUUUUCAAUGGGAUUUGUUGGGUAAUUCUUUUUUUCUAAUAUACUACAUUUUAGAACUUUUUUUAUAUUUUUUAAAACUAUUUAUAAUUUUUGAUAUUUUUAAAAUCUAGCCAAAUAAUUCAACCGGUUCAACUUAUUUUUACUAAAUUAGACCUGUCACCAGUUAAGUGGUCAAUCCGAUCUUGAUAUCCCUAACGUUGGUUUGUACAUCGGAG